GAUGAACGCUAGCUACAGGCUUAACACAUGCAAGUCGAGGGGCAGCAUGAAGUUUGCUUGCAAACUUUGAUGGCGACCGGCGCACGGGUGAGUAACGCGUAUCCAACCUGCCCCGUACUCGGGUAUAGCCCAGCGAAAGCUGGAUUAAUCCCCGAUGUCACCUUUAUGGUGCAUGCCAUAUUGGUUAAUGAAACUAAAGAUUUAUCGGUAUCGGAUGGGGAUGCGUGACAUUAGAUAGUAGGCGGGGUAACAGCCCACCUAGUCUACGAUGUCUAGGGGUUCUGAGAGGAAGGUCCCCCACACUGGAACUGAGACACGGUCCAGACUCCUACGGGAGGCAGCAGUGGGGAAUAUUGGGCAAUGGGGGAAACCCUGACCCAGCAACGCCGCGUGAAGGAAGAAGGCCUUCGGGUUGUAAACUUCUUUUACCAGGGACGAAGAACGUGACGGUACCUGGAGAAAAAGCAACGGCUAACUACGUG
rnacentral:rRNA from 1 species